rnacentral:rRNA from 1 species
UACGUAGGGUGCAAGCGUUGUCCGGAAUCACUGGGCGUAAAGCGCACGUAGGCGGCUUCUUAAGUCAGGGGUGAAAUCCUGGAGCUCAACUCCAGAACUGCCUUUGAUACUGAGGAGCUUGAGUCCGGGAGAGGUGAGUGGAACUGCGAGUGUAGAGGUGAAAUUCGUAGAUAUUCGCAAGAACACCAGUGGCGAAGGCGGCUCACUGGCCCGGUACUGACGCUGAGGUGCGAAAGCGUGGGGAGCAAACAGGG